GACGAACGCUGGCGGCGUGCUUAACACAUGCAAGUCGAACGGAAAGGCCCUGCUUUUGUGGGGUGCUCGAGUGGCGAACGGGUGAGUAACACGUGAGUAACCUGCCCUUGACUUUGGGAUAACUUCAGGAAACUGGGGCUAAUACCGGAUAGGAGCUCCUGCUGCAUGGUGGGGGUUGGAAAGUUUCGGCGGUUGGGGAUGGACUCGCGGCUUAUCAGCUUGUUGGUGGGGUAGUGGCUUACCAAGGCUUUGACGGGUAGCCGGCCUGAGAGGGUGACCGGCCACAUUGGGACUGAGAUACGGCCCAGACUCCUACGGGAGGCAGCAGUGGGGAAUAUUGUCCAAUGGGCGGAAGCCUGAUGCAGCAACGCCGCGUGCGGGAUGACGGCCUUCGGGUUGUAAACCGCUUUCGCCUGUGACGAAGCGUGAGUGACGGUAAUGGGUAAAGAAGCACCGGCUAACUACGUG
rnacentral:rRNA from 1 species